rnacentral:rRNA from 1 species
AGGACGAACGCUGGCGGCGUGCUUAACACAUGCAAGUCGAGCGGAAAGGCCCUUCGGGGUACUCGAGCGGCGAACGGGUGAGUAACACGUGAGCAAUCUGCCCUUAGCUUCGGGAUAGCUCCGGGAAACCGGAAUUAAUACCGAAUAUGACUUCGGCCGACAUCGGCCUUGGUGGAAAGUUUUUCGGCUAGGGAUGAACUCGCGGCCUAUCAGCUUGUUGGUGGGGUAAUGGCCUACCAAGGCGACGACGGGUAGCCGGCCUGAGAGGGCGACCGGCCACACUGGGACUGAGACACGGCCCAGACUCCUACGGGAGGCAGCAGUGGGGAAUAUUGCGCAAUGGGCGAAAGCCUGACGCAGCGACGCCGCGUGGGGGAUGAAGGCCUUCGGGUUGUAACCCCUUUCAGCAGGGACGAAGCGAAAGUGACGGUACCUGCAGAAGAAGCGCCGGCUAACUACGCGCCAGCAGCCGC